UGCACAAAAUUUUUACUUCUAAAAUUAUAUAUGGAGGUUUUCUAUAAAUUUUAGUUCUUUUGGACUUGUUCAAUUUUGGAAGAACAAUACGCAUUUUUCUCAUUUAUUUUCGGUUUCAAAAUUUGUUUAUACUCAAAUUAUUUUUGUGAAAUACUUUUUUGGUCUUGCGACCGUUUAAAUAUAAAAUUGUAUUUUUGUUGCUGCUAAUGAAUAGUAAAAAACUAAAUUCAAGUGAUGUCGUGGAGCCCGUGACGAUUGUCAGCUUCUGCAGGACUUUUCUGCAUGAAGUGCUGAUAUUUCUGUUGUUCUUUUCGAUAUCGGCGGUGGUUUUCUUCGUGUUCUUCUCGGCGUUGAAUAGUUUUGCCAUGGCCCCAAAUAAGCCACGACCCUUUAAAUAUUGUUUAUGGCCCAAAGAAUGGUGCAGUAUUCUCAACAAGCAGCCCAAGCUGCAUGAGCCGGAGUCACUCGCCAUGCAGCAACAGCAUAUAGAACGGUCGCGGCCAAAAUAUGAUCGUUUUUUGGAUUACAUGUUUAGAGCCACAUAGCGGCACAAUAAUAAAUACAUAAAAUAUUCUGUACAUAUAAUACAUGGUUAACCGACAGCACCUUACUUGUCAUUAUGCACAUAUCGUAUGUUCUCCACAACUGUGGCGUCACAUAAGCGUUCCGAACUGUCGGGUCUUUCCUGAUUAAGUUUGAAGUUAAAUUAUAUAUAUGCCACCGGGCAAAUGUCUCUCGUCAAGAUUGAGACAUAGUCCCGGGUCAGUAUAAACAAUAUAUGCAUAUAUAAUAUAUGCACUAACGGAUACAAUUCUCAAAUAUACAUAAAAGUACGUAACCUCAACUAUGAGAUGAGCAGCACGCAACUCUCAAAUGGCCAUUAUCAAUACAUGUGUUCUGACGCCCAGCUUUUCAAUGCGUUUCGGUGGCAGUUAAGCUGCAUCCCGAUUCAUUUCCAAAGAUGUCUUCCAAUAUACAAAAUCCACACCCCCUAACAAAAAAAUAACUACAACUUGUUAAUUAUAUAUAUACACAUCCCC